UUAAGCGACUAAGCGUACACGGUGGAUGCCCUGGCAGUCAGAGGCGAUGAAGGGCGUGCUAAUCUGCGAUAAGCGCCGGUAAGGUGAUAUGAACCGUUAUAACCGGCGAUACCCGAAUGGGGAAACCCAGUGUGAUUCGUCACACUAUCAUUAACUGAAUCCAUAGGUUAAUGAGGCGAACCGGGGGAACUGAAACAUCUAAGUACCCCGAGGAAAAGAAAUCAACCGAGAUUCCCCCAGUAGCGGCGAGCGAACGGGGAGGAGCCCAGAGCCUGAAUCAGCAUGUGUGUUAGUGGAAGCGUCUGGAAAGGCGCGCGAUACAGGGUGACAGCCCCGUACACAAAAGCGCAUGUGCUGUGAGCUCGAUGAGUAGGGCGGGACACGUGGUAUCCUGUCUGAAUAUGGGGGGACCAUCCUCCAAGGCUAAAUACUCCUGACUGACCGAUAGUGAACCAGUACCGUGAGGGAAAGGCGAAAAGAACCCCGGCGAGGGGAGUGAAAAAGAACCUGAAACCGUGUACGUACAAGCAGUGGGAGCACAGGUUUACCUGUGUGACUGCGUACCUUUUGUAUAAUGGGUCAGCGACUUAUAUUCUGUAGCAAGGUUAACCGAAUAGGGGAGCCGGAGGGAAACCGAGUCUUAAUUGGGCGUUAAGUUGCAGGGUAUAGACCCGAAACCCGGUGAUCUAGCCAUGGGCAGGUUGAAGGUUGGGUAACACUAACUGGAGGACCGAACCGACUAAUGUUGAAAAAUUAGCGGAUGACCUGUGGCUGGGGGUGAAAGGCCAAUCAAACCGGGAGAUAGCUGGUUCUCCCCGAAAGCUAUUUAGGUAGCGCCUCGUGAAUUCAUCUCCGGGGGUAGAGCACUGUUUCGGCUAGGGGGGCCAUCCCGGCUUACCAACCCGAUGCAAACUGCGAAUACCGGAGAAUGUUAUCACGGGAGACACACGGCGGGUGCUAACGUCCGUCGUGAAGAGGGAAACAACCCAGACCGCCAGCUAAGGUCCCAAAGUCAUGGUUAAGUGGGAAACGAUGUGGGAAGGCCCAGACAGCCAGGAUGUUGGCUUAGAAGCAGCCAUCAUUUAAAGAAAGCGUAAUAGCUCACUGGUCGAGUCGGCCUGCGCGGAAGAUGUAACGGGGCUAAACCAUGCACCGAAGCUGCGGCAGCGACACUGUGUGUUGUUGGGUAGGGGAGCGUUCUGUAAGCCUGUGAAGGUGUGUCGUGAGGCAUGCUGGAGGUAUCAGAAGUGCGAAUGCUGACAUAAGUAACGAUAAAGCGGGUGAAAAGCCCGCUCGCCGGAAGACCAAGGGUUCCUGUCCAACGUUAAUCGGGGCAGGGUGAGUCGACCCCUAAGGCGAGGCCGAAAGGCGUAGUCGAUGGGAAACGGGUUAAUAUUCCCGUACUUGGUGUUACUGCGAAGGGGGGACGGAGAAGGCUAUGUUGGCCGGGCGACGGUUGUCCCGGUUUAAGCGUGUAGGCUGGUUUUCCAGGCAAAUCCGGAAAAUCAAGGCUGAGGCGUGAUGACGAGGCACUACGGUGCUGAAGCAACAAAUGCCCUGCUUCCAGGAAAAGCCUCUAAGCAUCAGGUAACAUCAAAUCGUACCCCAAACCGACACAGGUGGUCAGGUAGAGAAUACCAAGGCGCUUGAGAGAACUCGGGUGAAGGAACUAGGCAAAAUGGUGCCGUAACUUCGGGAGAAGGCACGCUGACACGUAGGUGAAGUGAUUUACUCAUGGAGCUGAAGUCAGUCGAAGAUACCAGCUGGCUGCAACUGUUUAUUAAAAACACAGCACUGUGCAAACACGAAAGUGGACGUAUACGGUGUGACGCCUGCCCGGUGCCGGAAGGUUAAUUGAUGGGGUCAGCGCAAGCGAAGCUCCUGAUCGAAGCCCCGGUAAACGGCGGCCGUAACUAUAACGGUCCUAAGGUAGCGAAAUUCCUUGUCGGGUAAGUUCCGACCUGCACGAAUGGCGUAAUGAUGGCCAGGCUGUCUCCACCCGAGACUCAGUGAAAUUGAACUCGCUGUGAAGAUGCAGUGUACCCGCGGCAAGACGGAAAGACCCCGUGAACCUUUACUAUAGCUUGACACUGAACAUUGAGCCUUGAUGUGUAGGAUAGGUGGGAGGCUUUGAAGUGUGGACGCCAGUCUGCAUGGAGCCGACCUUGAAAUACCACCCUUUAAUGUUUGAUGUUCUAACGUGGACCCGUUACCCGGGUUGCGGACAGUGUCUGGUGGGUAGUUUGACUGGGGCGGUCUCCUCCUAAAGAGUAACGGAGGAGCACGAAGGUUGGCUAAUCCUGGUCGGACAUCAGGAGGUUAGUGCAAUGGCAUAAGCCAGCUUGACUGCGAGCGUGACGGCGCGAGCAGGUGCGAAAGCAGGUCAUAGUGAUCCGGUGGUUCUGAAUGGAAGGGCCAUCGCUCAACGGAUAAAAGGUACUCCGGGGAUAACAGGCUGAUACCGCCCAAGAGUUCAUAUCGACGGCGGUGUUUGGCACCUCGAUGUCGGCUCAUCACAUCCUGGGGCUGAAGUAGGUCCCAAGGGUAUGGCUGUUCGCCAUUUAAAGUGGUACGCGAGCUGGGUUUAGAACGUCGUGAGACAGUUCGGUCCCUAUCUGCCGUGGGCGCUGGAGAACUGAGGGGGGCUGCUCCUAGUACGAGAGGACCGGAGUGGACGCAUCACUGGUGUUCGGGUUGUCAUGCCAAUGGCACUGCCCGGUAGCUAAAUGCGGAAGAGAUAAGUGCUGAAAGCAUCUAAGCACGAAACUUGCCCCGAGAUGAGUUCUCCCUGAGACUUAGAGUCUCCUGAAGGAACGUUGAAGACGACGACGUUGAUAGGCCGGGUGUGUAAGCGCAGCGAUGCGUUGAGCUAACCGGUACUAAUGAACCGUGAGGCUUAACCUU
rnacentral:rRNA from 1 species